GCUCGUAGUCGGAUUUUGGCUGAGAACGGUCGGUCCGCCGUUAGGUGUGCACUGACUGGUCUCAGCUUCCUGGUGAGGAGGUGUGCUUCAUCGCCACUUAGUCACCGUGGUUACUUUGAAAAAAUUAGAGUGUUCAAAGCGGGCUUACGCUUGAAUAUAUUAGCAUGGAAUAACACCAUAGGACUCCUGUCCUAUUUCGUUGGUCUCGGGACGGGAGUAAUGAUUAAGAGGAACAGUUGGGGGCAUUCGUAUUUCAUUGUCAGAGGUGAAAUUCUUGGAUUUAUGAAAGACGAACUUCUGCGAAAGCAUUUGCCAAGGAUGUUUUCAUUGAUCAAGAACGAAAGUUGGGGGCUCGAAGAUGAUUAGAUACCAUCCUAGUCUCAACCAUAAACGAUGCCGACUAGGGAUUGGCGGAUGUUAAUUGAUGACUUCGCCAGCACCUUAUGAGAAAUCAAAGUUUUUGGGUUCCGGGGGGAGUAUGGUCGCAAGGCUGAAACUUAAAGGAAUUGACGGAAGGGCACCACCAGGCGUGGAGCCUGCGGCUUAAUUUGACUCAACACGGGGAAACUUACCAGGUCCAGACAUAGUAAGGAUUGACAGAUUGAGAGCUCUUUCUUGAUU
rnacentral:rRNA from 1 species